rnacentral:rRNA from 1 species
AGGACGAACGCUGGCGGCGUGCUUAACACAUGCAAGUCAAGGGGGCCCAGCAAUGGGCAACCGGCGAACGGGUGCGUAACACGUGAGCAACCUACCGAAAUGUGGGGGAUAGCCGGCCUAACGGCCGAGUAAUACCGCAUACGCUCUCGAUGAGGCAUUUCAUUGAGAGGAAACCUACGGGACAUUUCGAGGGGCUCGCGGCCUAUCAGCUAGUUGGCGAGGUAACGGCUCACCAAGGCAACGACGGGUAGCUGGUCUGAGAGGAUGGCCAGCCACAUUGGGACUGAGAUACGGCCCAGACUCCUACGGGAGGCAGCAGUGGGGAAUCUUGCGCAAUGGCCUAACGGCUGACGCAGCGACGCCGCGUGUGGGAUGAAGCUCUUCGGAGUGUAAACCACUGUUGCCCGGACGAAUAGCUCGAUUAGUCGAGCCUGACGGUACCGGGUGAAGGAAGCACCGGCUAACUCCGUGUCAGCAGCCGC